CCCUGUUCAUAGAAAAAAUAAACAAAAUAUAUUUUAUGGAGUAACCUGAGCUAAUGCCAAGCAAAGUAGUUUGAUGUUUACAACAUUGCAUACUAAAUUAAAGAAGUUAAAAUCACAAAUUUUUAUUAAUUUUUGAUCAUUUAUUAUACCUUUUUUUCUAGAAGCUCACAAUUUCUGGAUCUUAUCAAUUGUGCCAAUAAAUGGAUUUCUAAAGCAAAACUUCUCUUGCCACAAGAGUGUAAGUUAAGAAACCCGUUUUAUAGUGGAUACAGGGUAUACGGGCACUGAAAACGGAGGCUCUGACUGGGCACAUCAUUAGGUGCUGCCAUUUGAUGAAGUUUUAAUGAAAGGAACAGCAGCAGCGGCAGCAGCAACAACAACAACAACAAAUACAAGAAGAGGCACGAAAUAAACCAUUUGGGGUCCGAACAUCUUUUGCCGUUUGCCUUUUUUGGCCCAAUCAAAAAUUAAUGAGUGCCAGGCGCUUAUAAGUGAUAAAUCACCUUGACAAAGGCACAGAGCCAGGCAAAAGAGUGAGCAAGGGAGCAACACAACGAGAGGGAGAGAGAGAAAGAAAGGGAGAGAGCAAGAGCAAGAGAGAACCGGUCACAGGGUGUAGUAAAGCGCAUGUUGCCUGGUCACAAAUGAAAAUGGCAUCAUCAUAACAAUGAGAAUAAUAAUAAUAAUAGUAAUAAUAAUAAA